UGCUGUUGAGGCUCCAUCUACGAAUGGAUAAUAUUUGAGUUUUAGUCUCAACCUAGUUUACUAAAAAAAGGAGCAAUAUCAACCUUCUUAAUAUAAGAUCUAAAGAAGGUUGAUAUUGCUCCUUUUUUUAUAUUAUAAGUUAUAAUUUUUUAUAUUAUAAAGAUUUUAAAUAACAAAAUAAUAAAAAAUUUUCUUUUAGUAUCAUACUUUCCUGAUUUAGUAAUGUUAUCUACUAUUCUUUUUUUUUAUAAAUAUAAGUCAGUUUUUACCUAGUUUUUUUUUAAUUAUUUUUUUCCAAAAAAUAAGGUGGAAUUUUCUACUUCUUCAGUCUUGUAUUUAAGUUUUUGGUUUUUUAUUUUCGAAAUCAAUUUUAAAAUAAGUUAGACAAGACAAAAAUAGUAGGGGCGGAUGUAGCCAAGUGGAUCAAGGCAGKGGAUUGUGAAUCCACCA
rnacentral:misc_RNA from 1 species